CAUGAGCAUUGCUCAGGUGAGCUAACAAAAACAAAAAUGAAAAUAUUCAGUUAAUAUAGGUUAUGCGGCUGAUGUUACCAAUUGUUGCCUGAGGUCUUAAUCGAAUUACUCAGGUAUGGUGAGUUAUAUGAUUGUAUCUUUUUCACAGCGGCACGUGACAUCCAUUGAUUUCGAAAUGUUUUACUCCAGCUCUUAUAUUUACUUUUUUCGCUGCAGGAAUUAGAUAGGGAUUAGAAUUAUUAUGGCAACCGAAGCAGGUGAUUCAGCUUUCGUCAGCAUACUCGAUGAAUACAGCCGGAAGAAAGCAAAAGAUGAACUGAACGAACAAAAUGAAAAGGACCGAGAAAUAGCAGUACAAACACUUAGAAAAUGGGUCAUAGAAACGAACUGAUUAAAAUCACCUACAGAUUUUGGUUUUCUUCUCCGAUUUUUACGGACGAGAAAGUUCAGUCAACUUGGAGCACGACAAAUGAUAGAAAACUACUUCGCACUGAAGACAAACGUUCCGGAUUACUACCGAAAUCUUGACCCUGCCGACCCAAUUGUACAAGCCAUUAUAAAAUCAGGGUAAAACUGUCGUAGUAGUUUUUAACAUUUAACAUGUUUUCUAGUAAAUUAUUGAAAUAACCCAGUGAAAUAUAUCUGGUAAAUUCACAGCGAAAUAUAACUCUAGAAUAUGUACAUUUAGUUAAAACCGUUAAAAAGAUUAACUAAACAGAAAAUGGUGUGUUAUGCAUGCAUGUUUAAAGUUAUGUAUCUGUCACACUUGAACACCAGUUCUUCCGAAAGAUAUUCCGAUCUUGCACAGUUCUAAACAAAUAUUUACCGUGUCUAAUGCUUAUAUUGUUAAUCCAAAGUUUCCUAUGUGUCUAGUAAGCACUUAACAAUAUGAAUGUAUUGGAAUCCCCGCCAGGUGUAUAAGGGUUUUCGUUCCAUCCAUCUAUCAUUUCCGCAAAGAAAAGGUCAAGAUAUUUUUCAUUACAAAUGGUACACGGAAAGAGGGAAAUAUGCAUAAAAUAUGCGUCGAAAAUAUAUGCUAACCCUGACAACAAAUUCUUACAAAAUAUUCAAAACCCGUGAAUCCUGCAAUACCUAAAAGAGAUAUAAGACCCUGAUUAAUAGUUGAAAAUACGAAUACUUACAUAUACAUCGUCACACUAGGCCAUCAAAUUUCUAAGUCUAAAUUUCUAAGUGCCGGUGUAAUGAAGUAUUUCGACCCCCAUAGAAUAAUG